rnacentral:rRNA from 1 species
UACGGAGGGGGCUAGCGUUGUUCGGAAUUACUGGGCGUAAAGCGCGCGUAGGCGGUUCUGCAAGUCGGGGGUGAAAUCCCGAGGCUCAACCUCGGAACUGCCUUCGAUACUGCGGGUCUCGAGUCCGGGAGAGGUGAGUGGAAUUCCUAGUGUAGAGGUGAAAUUCGUAGAUAUUAGGAAGAACACCAGUGGCGAAGGCGGCUCACUGGCCCGGUACUGACGCUGAAGCGCGAAAGCGUGGGGAGCAAACAGG